rnacentral:rRNA from 1 species
AUUGAACGAUGGCGGCAGGCCUAACACAUGCAAGUCGAACGAGUGGCGGACGGGUGAGUAAUGUCUGGGAAACUGCCCGAUGGAGGGGGAUAACUACUGGAAACGGUAGCUAAUACCGCAUACCAUCGGAUGUGCCCAGAUGGGAUUAGCUUGUAGGUGAGGUAACGGCUCACCUAGGCGACGAUCCCUAGCUGGUCUGAGAGGAUGACCAGCGACAAUGGAAGUGAGACACGGGCCAGAUUCGUACGGGAGUGAUCAGUGGGGAAUAUUGCACAAGGGGCGCAAGCCUGAUGCAGCCGUGCGGAGUGGAGGAAGAAGGCCUUAGGGUUGUAAAUUACUUUCAGCGGGGAGGCGUGACCCGCAGUAGAAGCACCGGCGAACUCCGUGCUAGCAGCCGCGUUAAUUC